rnacentral:lncRNA from 1 species
GCUUACAAUCCGCUUCUACUCUUUCUCCUCCCAUCUCUUCUCUACCUCAGUAUUUAUCCGGCUUACAGCCUGCUAUUAUACGGAGUCUCGCCCUCAGCCCGCUAACAAAACUGUUUAUGGCCAUCUCAUCCUUCUACACCAUAAAGAUUAAAGAAGCACCCCUCCCAACUCCACUCCUUUUAAUUAUACUUGCUCUAAGAGCGGUUAACUAUAAGCUAAAUAUAAAUAUAUUUUAAGGAGAUAAGAGAUGAGAGAGAAGAACAGUGAUAUAUAUUUAUAGCCAGCUGUAACACGAAUUCUAAGACAUAAUAUGUGUAUAGCAGAUGCCAUAUGGGACAUGUUAGUAUAUGUUUUAUAGGUAGCUAUUAUAUGAAUUGACUAUUAGAUUGAUUAUAGAUA